UACGUAGGGUGCAAGCGUUAAUCGGAAUUACUGGGCGUAAAGCGUGCGCAGGCGGUUGUGCAAGACAGAUGUGAAAUCCCCAGGCUUAACCUGGGAAUUGCAUUUGUGACUGCCCGACUAGAGUGUGUCAGAGGGGGGUAGAAUUCCACGUGUAGCAGUGAAAUGCGUAGAGAUGUGGAGGAAUACCGAUGGGCGAAGGCAGCCCCCUGGGAUAACACUGACGCUCAUG
rnacentral:rRNA from 1 species